AGUCACUGACAUUAGAUACCCGCGUAGUCCAGGGUGUAAACGCUGCAGACUUGGUGUUGGAGGCCCUUUGGGGGCAUUCAGUGCCGGAGAGAAGUUGUUAAGUCUGCUACUUGGGAGUACGUCCGCAAGGAUGAAACUUAAAGGAAUUGCGGGGGAGCACCGCAACGGGAGGAGCGUGCGGUUUAAUUGGAUUCAACACCGUAAAACUCACCAGGGAAGACUGUUACAUGAAGGCCGAGAUGAAGACUCUGCUAGAUUUUCAG
rnacentral:rRNA from 1 species